AACGAACGCUGGCGGCAUGCCUAACACAUGCAAGUCGAACGAGACCUUCGGGUCUAGUGGCGCACGGGUGCGUAACGCGUGGGAACCUGCCCUUAGGUUCGGAAUAACUCCCCGAAAGGGGUGCUAAUACCGGAUAAUGUCUUCGGACCAAAGAUUUAUCGCCUUUGGAUGGGCCCGCGUUGGAUUAGCUAGUUGGUAGGGUAAAAGCCUACCAAGGCGACGAUCCAUAGCUGGUCUGAGAGGAUGAUCAGCCACACUGGGACUGAGGCACGGCCCAGACUCCUACGGGAGGGAGCAGUGGGGAAUAUUGGACAAUGGGCGAAAGCCUGAUCCAGCAAUGCCGCGUGAGUGAUGAAGGCCUUAGGGUUGUAAAGCUCUUUUACCCGGGAUGAUAAUGACAGUACCGGGAGAAUAAGCUCCGGCUAACUCCGUG
rnacentral:rRNA from 1 species